rnacentral:rRNA from 1 species
UACGGAGCAUGCGAGCGUUAUCCGGAUUUAUUGGGUUUAAAGGGUGCGUAGGCGGCUUUUUAAGUCAGCGGUGAAAUUUUGCAGCUUAACUGUAACAGUGCCGUUGAUACUGUUUGGCUAGGAUUUGGUUGUAGUGUGCGGAAUGUGUGGUGUAGCGGUGAAAUGCUUAGAUAUCACACAGAACACCGAUUGCGAAGGCAGCACACUAAGUCAUUAUUGACGCUGAGGCACGAAAGUGUGGGGAUCAAACAGGAUUA